rnacentral:rRNA from 1 species
AUUGAACGCUGGCGGCAUGCCUUACACAUGCAAGUCGAACGGCAGCAUGGAGAGCUUGCUCUCUGAUGGCGAGUGGCGAACGGGUGAGUAAUGCAUCGGAACGUACCGUGUAAUGGGGGAUAACGUAGCGAAAGUUACGCUCAUACCGCAUACGACCUGAGGGUGAAAGCAGGGGAUCGCAAGACCUUGCGUUAUACGAGCGGCCGAUGGCAGAUUAGCUAGUUGGUGAGGUAAAGGCUCACUAAGGCGACGAUCUGUAGCGGGUCUGAGAGGAUGAUCAGCCACACUGUGACUGAGACACGGACCAGACUCCUACGGGAGGCAGCAGUGAGGACUUUUGGACAAUGGGCGAAAGUCUGAUCCAGCCAUUCCGCGUGCAGGACGAAGGCCUUCGGGUUGUAAACUGCUUUUGUACAGAACGAAAAGGUCUCUAUUAAUACUAGGGGCUCAUGACGGUACUGUAAGAAUAAGCACCGGCUAACUACGUGCCAGCCGCCGCAGUAA